GGGGAUAAACUUAGAACCCCAGUGCAGGGGUGUUAAUAGUGUAGCUUUUGGCCGAGCUCCAUGGUUAGUGAAUC
rfam:Prevotella sp. S7 MS 2 contig012, whole genome shotgun sequence.